AGUAGCAAAGGUCUUUAUGUCUGUGAGGAUCAUUUCGAUUUAGAACAAGACAUUAAUAACUAUAUAAAUUCAAGAUUAUGGCUGGUCCCAAAAUUAUUAAGUCAGGUGUUGUCCCGCACAUAUUUGAUUGUUAACCAGAGAGAAAAAGAAAUUUUUCUGAGCCCAUGAGGGAAGCAGCCCUUAAAAGGGUUAAACGUCAGCUUCUUGAAGAUGCCGCUUCCACAUCUAACUCUGUUCUAGAGGACAAUGAUGAUGAUAAGAGACAGUGUGAUAAUAGUUUCACAAACUUAGUUCAACCAGGACCUGAAUUAAACCAACCAGCUUUACCUCAAAAA
rnacentral:lncRNA from 1 species